GAUGAACGCUUGGCGGCGUGCUUACACAUGCAAGUCGAGCGAAGCGCUUUGAAUAUUUCGGUAUGAGAAGUGACUGAGCGGCGGACGGGUGAGUAACGCGUGGGUAACCUGCCUCAUACAGGGGGAUAACAGUUAGAAAUGACUGCUAAUACCGCAUAAGCGCACAGCAUCGCAUGAUGCAGUGUGAAAAACUCCGGUGGUAUGAGAUGGACCCGCGUUGGAUUAGGCAGUUGGCGGGGUAACGGCCCACCAAACCGACGAUCCAUAGCCGGCCUGAGAGGGUGAACGGCCACAUUGGGACUGAGACACGGCCCAAACUCCUACGGGAGGCAGCAGUGGGGAAUAUUGCACAAUGGGGGAAACCCUGAUGCAGCGACGCCGCGUGAGUGAAGAAGUUAUUCGUAAUGUAAAGCUCUAUCAGCAGGGAAGAAAAUGACGGUACCUGACUAAGAAACCCCGGCUAACUACGUGCCAGCAGCCGCGGUAAUACGUAGGGGGCAAGCGUUAUCCGGAUUUACUGGGUGUAAAGGGAGCGUAGACGGUCGUGCAAGUCUGAUGUGAAAGGCAGGGGCUCAACUCCUGGACUGCAUUGGAAACUGUAUGACUGGAGUGUCGGAGAGGUAAGCGGAAUUCCUAGUGUAGCGGUGAAAUGCGUAGAUAUUAGGAGGAACACCAGUGGCGAAGGCGGCUUACUGGACGAUAACUGACGUUGAGGCUCGAAAGCGUGGGGAGCAAACAGGAUUAGAUACCCUGGUAGUCCACGCCGUAAACGAUGACUACUAGGUGCUGGGGGACACAGUCCUUCGGUGCCGCCGCAAACGCAUUAAGUAGUCCACCCGGGGAGUACGUUCGCAAGAAUGAAACUCAAAGGAAUUGACGGGGACCCGCACAAGCGGUGGAGCAUGUGGUUUAAUUCGAAGCAACGCGAAGAACCUUACCAAGUCUUGACAUCGAUCUGACCGUACUUGUAAUGAGUAUUUCCUUCGGGACAGAGAAGACAGGUGGUGCAUGGUUGUCGUCAGCUCGUGUCGUGAGAUGUUGGGUUAAGUCCCGCAACGAGCGCAACCCUUAUUGUCAGUAGCCAGCGGCUCGGCCGGGCACUCUGAUGAGACUGCCAGGGAUAACCUGGAGGAAGGUGGGGAUGACGUCAAAUCAUCAUGCCCCUUAUGACUUGGGCUACACACGUGCUACAAUGGCGUAAACAAAGGGAGGCAAAGCAGUGAUGCCGAGCAAAUCUCAAAAAUAACGUCUCAGUUCGGAUUGUAGUCUGCAACUCGACUACAUGAAGCUGGAAUCGCUAGUAAUCGCGAAUCAGCAUGUCGCGGUGAUACGUUCGCCGGUCUUGUACACCCGCCCGUAAGGCUGAUCGCGCCGAACUUCGCCUAUACUUUCCCG
rnacentral:rRNA from 1 species